rnacentral:rRNA from 1 species
GACGAACGCUGGCGGCGUGCCUAAUACAUGCAAGUAGAACGCUGAAGAGAGGAGCUUGCUCUUCUUGGAUGAGUUGCGAACGGGUGAGUAACGCGUAGGUCACCUGCCUUGUAGCGGGGGAUAACUAUUGGAAACGAUAGCUAAUACCGCAUAACCAUGGAUGACACAUGUCAUUUAUUUGAAAGGGGCAAUUGCUCCACUACAAGAUGGACCUGCGGUGUAUUAGCUAGUAGGUGAGGUAAUGGCUCACCUAGGCGACGAUACAUAGCCGACCUGAGAGGGUGAGCGGCCACACUGGGACGGAGACACGGCCCAGACUCCUACGGGAGGCAGCAGGAGGGAAUCUUCGGCAAUGGGGGCAACCUUGACCGAGCAACGCCGCGUGAGUGAAGAAGGUUUUCGGAUCGUAAAGCUCGGUUGUAAGUCAAGAACGGGUGUGAGAGUGGAAAGUUCACACUGUGACGGUAGCUUAUCAGAAAGGGACGGCUAACUACGUG